rnacentral:rRNA from 1 species
UACAGAGGGUGCGAGCGUUAAUCGGAAUUACUGGGCGUAAAGCGCGCGUAGGCGGCUUUGUAAGUCGGUUGUGAAAUCCCCGGGCUUAACCUGGGAACUGCAUCCGAGACUGCAUGGCUAGAGUAUGGGAGAGGGAAGUGGAAUUUCAGGUGUAGCGGUGAAAUGCGUAGAUAUCUGAAGGAACAUCAGUGGCGAAAGCGGGUCUCUGGGCCGAUACUGACGCUGAGGAGCGAAAGCGUGGGGAGCAAACAGG